UAUUCUUCUUCUCUUUUCUAUACCAAGUAAUUAUGCAAUUUAUGUGUACCUUAGAUUUGCGUGCCUGUCCUAACAGUCAUAGUAUUGAUGUGUCUUCAAUUUCAUAGUACCCCUACUUCAUGUUCUUUACCACUAGUCAUCUAGGAUGAUAAGGUAGAGAACACAUUGUCUAUAAUUCCUUUUUUCCUCUAUCCGUAUAUCAUAUGUGUUAUCAUAGCGAAGUAUCAAUGAACAAUUUAAAAUAGAAGAUAUGUUUCAAUGUAAAGAACAAAAAGGUUUCUGAUAUAUUCAAUG
rnacentral:misc_RNA from 1 species